AUUGAACGCUGGCGGCAUGCCUUACACAUGCAAGUCGAACGGCAGCACGGGAGCUUGCUCCUGGUGGCGAGUGGCGAACGGGUGAGUAAUACAUCGGAACGUACCCUGAAGUGGGGGAUAACGUAGCGAAAGUUACGCUAAUACCGCAUAUUCUGUGAGCAGGAAAGAGGGGGAUCGCAAGACCUCUUGCUUUAGGAGCGGCCGAUGUCGGAUUAGCUAGUUGGUGAGGUAAAGGCUCACCAAGGCGACGAUCCGUAGCGGGUCUGAGAGGAUGAUCCGCCACACUGGGACUGAGACACGGCCCAGACUCCUACGGGAGGCAGCAGUGGGGAAUUUUGGACAAUGGGCGCAAGCCUGAUCCAGCCAUGCCGCGUGAGUGAAGAAGGCCUGGUGUAAGA
rnacentral:rRNA from 1 species